rnacentral:tRNA from 1 species
GCCUGGGUGGCUCAGUCGGUUAAGCGUCUGACUUCGGCUCAGGUCAUAAUCUCGCAGUUUGUGGGUUCGAACCCCGUGUUAGGCU